UACCUGGUUGAUCCUGCCAGUAGUCAUAUGCUUGUCUCGAAGAUUAAGCCAUGCAUGUCUAAGUACAUGCCUAACUAAGGCGAAACCGCGAAUGGCUCAUUAAAACAGUCAUGAUCUAUUUGAUGUUGACUGUCUACAUGGAUAACUGUGGUAAUUCUAGAGCUAAUACAUGCACAAAAGCCGCGACUUUUUACUAAGAAGCGGUGCGUUUAUUAGACCAAGACCAAUGGGUGCUUGCACCCUACAAAUAUGGUGACUCUGGAUAACUAAUGGCCUAAAAACCAUGAUGCUGACCCUAUGGCCCGUGGGCAACCACAUAGUGCCGAGGGCAAAUCAUUCGAGUGUCUGAUCUAUCAACUGUCGAUGGUAAAUUAUAUGUUUACCAUGGUUGUAACGGGUAACGGGGAGUUAGGGCUCGACUCCGGAGAGCAAGCCUGAGAAACGGCUAGCACAUCCAAGGAAGGCAGCAGGCGCGCAAAUUACUCAAUGCCAGCUCGGCGAAGUAGUGAAGAAAAAUAACGAUGUAGGUUCUUUUUAUAGGAUCUACAAUUGGAAUGAGUACACCGUAAAUACGUUAACGAGUACCAAUUGGAGGGCAAGUCUGGUGCCAGCAGCCGCGGUAAUUCCAGCUCCAAUAGCGUAUAUUAAAGUUGCUGCGGUUAAAAAGCUCGUAGUUGGAUUUCAGACCUAUUGUUAGCAAAGCUGCACUAUUCAACGGCUAUCGGUUUGGGGCGCGUUUAGGCGUUGCCACCGGGUCAUAGUCGGGUGUUAGCUAUUUGCUAGCUGGUCGUUUCGUCACUUUUUAUUAGGACGAAGCAGGCUGUAUCAUUGGCUAGUAGCAUCUCGUAUGUUACGCUACAAUGGUCAGCAUGUUUACCUUGAGAAAAUUAGAGUGCUCAAAGCAGACAUCGCGGGUCGCAAGGCUUGCAUUUAUGUUUGAAUAAUGUUGCAUGGAAUAAUAGAAUAUGGCCUCGGUUCUAUUCUGUUGGUCUUGUAGAACAACAAACAAGUUCAUAUGUUCAAUUCAUGUUGUUAGCUUGGUGGAUUAUUGUUUGUAUGGUUUUGGUUGCGAUAAGUUUAGUGUUAUCACGCUUUUAAGUGUGCAUCGCGAACCUAUUGUAACUACUCAAAUCAUGCAAACGUAGUCCCUCGUAAAGCCUUGCUAAUUAACACGAACAUGUGAAUCGAGGCAAUGGUUAAUAGGGACAGACGGGGGCAUUCGUACUGCUUCGCUAGAGGUGAAAUUCUUAGACCGAAGCAAGACGAACUAAAGCGAAAGCAUUUGCCUAGAAUGUUCUCAUUAAUCAAGAACGAAAGUUAGAGGUUCGAAGGCGAUCAGAUACCGCCCUAGUUCUAACCAUAAACGAUGCCAACUAGCAAUCAGGCUGAAUUUUUUAAAUAACAAAUGAUUCGCCUGGCGGCUUCGCGGGAAACCAAAGUUUUUCGGUUCCGGGGGAAGUAUGAUUGCAAAGUUGAAACUUAAAGGAAUUGACGGAAGGGCACCACCAGGGGUGGAGCCUGCGGCUUAAUUUGACUCAACACGGGGAAACUUACUAGAUUAGAACGCUGGAAUGAUUGACAGAUUAAUAGCUCUUUCUUGAUUCAGCGAGUGGUGGUGCAUGGCCGUUCUUGAUUCGUAGAAUGAUUCGUCUGCUUAAUUGCGAUAACGAGUGAGACCUCGACCUACUAACUAGUUUAGUUCAUCAUUUGGGAUAUCAAACGCUUUACGUUUUUGGCCUGUUGUGCGUGUAGCAAUAUGCGUAUGGCCGGUCAUGGCGUAGAGUAGGCCCACUGCUGGACUAUAACUUCUUAGCGGGAUAAACGGUGUUUUAGCCGUAAUAAAUGAGGCAAUAACAGGUCUGUGAUGCCCUUAGAUACUCUAGGCCGCACGCGUGCUACACUGGUAGAGGCAGCAUGCUUAAUUUAAACAAUUGCUUCGAAAUUCUACCAGCUUUCUGCGUAUACAGGAGGGGCAACCUUGAUCGUGUACGCACGUUGGCUGGUGUGAGUCGAGGAUUUAUUGUUUGAAAAAACCUUGGCUGAAAAGCCUGGGCAAUCCUUUGAAACUCUACCGUGAUUUGGGAUUGGGAAUUGCAAUUGUUUUCCAUGAACGAGGAAUCCCCAGUAAGCGCAAUUCAUCAUAUUGCGUUGAUUACGUCCCUGCCCUUUGUACACACCGCCCGUCGCUACUACCGAUUGAAUGAUUUAGUGAGGUCUUUGGACUGGCUUGCACGAUGAUUGAUCUCGGUCAUAUUAUUGUGCAAAGCUGGGAAGAUGAUCAAACUUGAUCAUUUAGAGGAAGUAAAAGUCGUAACAAGGUUUCCGUAGGUGAACCUGCGGAAGGAUCAUUA
rnacentral:rRNA from 1 species